CAACGCUGGCCCUGCCUUCUUUUCUAUUCACUGGCUGUGGUAGCUCUCAAUUUUUUCUUUUUUGGGGUCUUGGGACCCUUUUACCCACUUAGAAGGCGUGGGGUCCCCAAAGAGCACUAUCUCCGUAGAUUAGAGUGAUCCAUGUUUACUGCAUUCAAAGUUAAAACCGAGAAAUUCUUGAAGCACAAGAAGACGCAAGCGCACACUCCAGAAGCCCUCAGUGGUGCCAACCCUGCACCCGUGAAGCUUUUGGAAAAUUCCACCAGGUAUCCAUGAGCGUCUCCUAGGGAAGCGGGCGGGUCACAGCUCACUGUGCUGUGAACGUGAUCCUGCGGAAUCCUGGCAAAGGACUUGGGGACCCUGGGAGGGUGACUGACCCCCCCUCAGAGCUGCUGACAUAACCAAUGCCUGUUGGUCCUGCUGUUUCACAGACAGUGCGGGCGGCGCCGCAUUCCCCUCCCGGGUCCUGAUGGGGAAGCGCGGUCAGCGGGUGAGUCACUCCGUAGCCGUGAGCAUCUGUCACCAGUGGCCAUGUGAGCGGACCAAAUGAGGUUCUCAGUGGGAAGCCCUCCCCAGAGAGCCGGCACAGACUGUGCCGAGACCGCCUGUCUAAGUGGGCUGGACGUCCAGGGUGUGACGAGAGAAGAGGGGAGAGACACGGAGAACCCACCUGUGUCCAGAAGAGGGUGAGGGUGACAGUGCGUGAUAAGAAGAUCUCAGUCGCUGGUCACUUGCUCUGCGGCUUCAGAGAGGUUAUUGGGCGACUGUCUGCCCACCCUUGGAAUUCACAACUGUCCGCCAGGGGGUGCUGGGGGUCCCUACACACCCCAGACCACAAGGAUCCCACCGUUAAACCUGUGCCAGGCACUGUGGUGUGUGUCACUUCGCUGCGUCCUCACAGUCACUUUGACAGGGAACAGCCCAGAGAAGUCAGUCAUUUUCCCAAGGUCACAAGGAACUAAGAGCCCCAUGACCCUGGGGUUCAAACCAAGGUCAGUCGACUUCAGGUCAGUCUGACUUUAGGAUUCAAGCUGUCAACCACAGUACAUGCUAUCUGGCUGAGGCUCUCUGCGCCAGGCAGGUGACCAGUGAGUUCACCCUGCUUCCUGAGACCCCAGUACUGCUCCUCCCUAUGACCAGA
rnacentral:lncRNA from 1 species